GACACAUGCAGGAGCCCCGCCCCUCCUCUCCCUGAGGCCACGCCCCAGCUCCUCCUCUUCCCCCGAGGCCCUGCCCAGUGGCCAGACUGGAAGCCAGGCUGCGAUACCACCUGCACAGGGAGCCGCAGUGCUGAUUAGGGUGACCAGGAGUCUGAUUUUGGACUGGAACACGGGGUCAAAAAGGGAUCCUGGAGGCUCCAGUCCGCACGCUAACCGGGCCGUUGACUGUUCAAUUGGCAGGCUCCCAGCGGGGGAGGGAGCAGCAAUGCCAGCUGCUCCAUCACUGCAUCCAGGUGUAAUUCAUAACAAGACGCAGCCACGUCAUCUCUAGUCGCAGGCCAUGAGGAGCAGGUCCUUAAAAGGGGAAGCGGCCACCUGCUCAGGAGUGCACUCACAAGCUUGUACCUCCCUGUGAAGGCCCUUCGCCGGGACUGCCUGGCCAGUGGUUCCCCGCGUUGCAGGCCAUCGUGCCUUGGGAAGACUGACUGUCAUACGCUUACCCUGAAGAAUCCUGACCUCGCCAGUGCUGUGCCUGUCCUGGGAGCGUUUGUCACCAAAAUCAUCCACCUUCUCCUGAUGGACGCCUAGAAAAUCCCCUGAAAUGUUAGAAUUGACCAGAUGCAGCCAUUGAAACAGACCAGUGGUGAGGAGUUAAGUGCAGGGCCUCAUUUUGCUAGGCCAAAAACAGAUCAAGAGAUUAGACAGCACUCUUAGGUUAUGGCUUCUGAUGCAACUGCAAACUGUAAGUACAUGGUUAUGUACAACAAAUAAAUAUGUACAUAUCCAUGU